UUUGGAGUGGUGAGUCUUCUUCUGGACUGGUCAGGCCAAGGAACAGCUGCCCAGGGGUUCUGUCCUUCUCCUAAGCCAAGCCAUAGUACAGGCCCAGUAUCAACAAAGCCAAGUGACAAUGGAUUAAAACUAUGAAAUUGGCCAAGAAGAUCUGGUUCCCAGAGGGGAAAACUCUGUUCUCUGUCCAAGAGAGCCAGAACUCCUGAAUUCCAGUGUCCUGGACCUCAGGCUACUUCUUCUGAGUGUGGGAGAAUAAAUAUCAUGAAAGCAAGGAUACUCUGUCUCAUUCAGACCUAGAGCAUUGAAGUUGGCCAACCACGAAAUGAACCUCUGAAACCGUGAGCCC